CAUUGAUAUUUCAUAUUUGCGUUGGCUGUCGAAGCGGUGUGGAAAAUCAUGAUAAAGUACAUAGGUUGGGUAGGUAAUUCGUCAUAUGGCCCAUUACAGUCUUUUAUUAGGCCCAUAAAAGGCGGUGGCUAGCAUACAAUAGGCCCACGAACAAGAUGGACCCAACCAACCAAUAACAGGGUUAUGAGCCGAACGAGAUGAGUUUCGCGGUCGUAGAAGUAAAACAUUCAUCGAUGAAGGAAAGCCGAAACUGGAAAGGGUUUGAAAUGACACCGCCACUCUCUCUCUCUCGCGCGCGCAAUUGACGGCGAUAAUGAAAGUUGUGUGAAAAUCUUCUAAGAAGGGGACGCCUAACCUCUCCAACUCUUAGUUCGGUUCACGGAGCUCGCUUCUAUACAAGUUAGGAACUACCUACUCAUCCUCAUCCAGCACAAUGGCUUUCAAGCUUUCUCUGCUGAACAAGCCGGAAUUUUUGCCCAAUCUUCUUUCCCUUUCAUUUUCUGUUUUCUUUUCCUUUGUGUCGUUAUAUAUAUAUAUAAUUGGUAUAGGAAAUUGAUUGCCUGGUUA